CACACUCACUGCACCCCUGACACGCACAGCACACACUCACUGCACCCCUGACAUGCACAGCACACACUCACUGCACCCCUGACACGCACAGCACACACACACUGCACCCCUGACACACACAGCUUCCUCAUACGCACAUGGCACCCUCACGCAAACAAAGCACCCAAUCACACACAGCACACACACACAGCACCCUUACCCACAUAGCACCCUCACAUAAACACAGCACCCAAUCACACACAGCACACACACACAGCACCCUUACCCACAUAGCACCCUCACGCAAACACAGCACCCAUCACUAACACACUACACACCUCACACACACUGCACCCCUCACACACACUGCACAAUAUGCUUUCCUGGCAUUUUUGUCUCCUGGUAUCCCAACUAUGGAGACACCAGAGACAAAUUUCAAGCAAACACAGUGCAAGCAUGUUAUUAAAUUUGCUUGCGCUGUGCAGAACAAAUACAGGGUCUUUUUCUCAUGCCAGAGCUCUUCAGCAGAGCUCUGCGCAUGGUCUACCCUGGAA